GAGGGAAAGAUGAAAAGCACUUUGGAAAGAGAGUUAACAGUACGUGAAAUUGUUGGAAGGGAAACGCUUGAAGUCAGACUUGCUGUUCGGAGUUCAGCCGCAAGGUGUACUCUCCGAGUUGCAGGCCAGCAUCAGUUUUUCGGGGUGGAAAAUCACGGUUUGAAGGUAGCAGUUUCGGCUGUGUUAUAGCUUUCCGUUGGAUACAUCCUGGGGGACUGAGGAACGCAGUGUGCUUUUAGCGGAGGUUUCGACCUCUUCACACUUAGGAUGCUGGUGGAAUGGCUUUAAACGACCCGUCUUGUAACACGGACCAAGAAGUCUAACAUGUGUGCGAGUCAUUGGGUAUUUUGUUGAAACCUAAGGGCGCAAUUAAAAUAACUAUUUUAUGGGAUUACAAGUGAAUUAAAUUUCAUUUCUUCAUCCCGGGGCGUUCUAUACGAACAUGGUUUGAGCAAUUGAAUCCUCUGUUCAAGAGCGUACCUUGAGCAUACAUGCUGUGACCCGAAAGAUGGUGAACUAUACCUGAUCAGAUCGAAGCCAGGAGAAAUUCUGGUGGAGGAUCGAAACAGUUCUGACGUGCAAAUCGAUUGUCAGAAUUGGGUAUAGGGGCGAAAGACCAAUCGAACCAUCUAGUAGCUGGUUUCCUCCGAAGUUUCCCUCAGGAUAGCUGGCGCAAAGAAUUAUAUUGUAUAUAAUCUUAUCUGGUAAAGCGAAUGAUUAGAGGCCUUGGGGCCGAAACGACCUCAACCUAUUCUCAAACUUUAAAUGGGU
rnacentral:rRNA from 1 species